UUUUUGCCGGUUCUUCCCGCUGAGGAAGUGUCGCUCAAGACGCUGGCCUAUGAGUUGUGAUUUCUGCCUUUUCCCCUUCCUCCUUGGGCUAAGCCAGACCAGAAAGGGCCCCGUGCGCAACGUGCUUCACAAUCUCUCAGGGAAAGCGGCUAACGUGGCGCUACUCCGCCUCCCCUGUUCCUUACCCUUGGGGCGGCCGCCAUGUUUCCUGAACACAAAAUGGCGACACGUGGUUAGCAUUCGUCGCCAACGAGAAAUUGGGGUCGGCCCGAAAGCUCUAGAAUGCACCCCUCUUCCUCCCCGGGGCCUUCCACCUCCGCGAGUUUUAUGACUUAAAAAAGCCCACAGGCUGGUCUGAAGGUCGGAGGCCUAAUUUUAACGCGUUUUCCUCCCUUUAAUUUGAAACGGGAACGCGAAUGACUGUAAAAUGUGGGCACAAUAUUUAAUCUCUCGCCUUUUUAAAGCUUAAUAGUGGAUAAUAGGGGGGCAGUAUCAAGGGAUAAUUUGGGUCCCCACAGUACCAAAGCAUUUAGAAACCUCUGUUUAAUUUAAGGAAUGAGAUAAGUUACUGCUUUUCUAGACUUCCUAGCAUGGGCUGUUGUGCUGGAGAGAACGAGAGCUACGAAGAGACUACAGUGCCUCUGACUUUUUCAUAGGACAGUUGGCCGAGGAAGACAAACAUAAAGAUGAAGUGCUUAAUUCAAGGUCACACAAUGUCGGGGAUGGACCUCCAGAUUUCCUUACUGAGACGGAGUCUUGCUAUGUUGCCCAGGCUGGUCUUGAACUCCUCACCUCAAGCGAUCCUCCCGUCUUGGCCUCCCAAGUGUCAGGAUUACGGGCAUGUGCUAUCACACCCAACCUGAUACAUUGCCUUUAUAAAUUUUUUUUUCUUUAUUCUAAAAACCAGAAAAAACAAAACUGGAUACAUGUGCAGAACAUGCAGGUUUGUUACAUAGCUGUACGUGUGCCAUGGUGGUUUGCUGCACCUAUUGACCUAUCCUGUGAGACGUGGUCUUGUAACACAGUGGUUAAGAAUGUGACUUUGGAGCCAGCCUGCUAGGGGCUGAAUUCUGACUCAGCCAUUUACUAACUGUGUGACCUUAGGCUGGAGUGCAAUGGCAUGAUCUCGGCUCAUCACAACCUCUGCUUCCUGGGUUCAAGCGAUUCUCCUGCCUCAGCCUCCCGAGUACCUGGGACUACAGGCACUCGCCACCAUGCCCGGCUGAUUUUUGUAUUUUUAAUAGAGAUGGUUUCACUAUGUUGGCCAGGCUGGUCUCGAACUCCUGACCUUGUGAUCUGCCCACCUCAGCCUCGAAAAGUGCUGGGAUUACAGGCGUGAGCCACUGCGCCCAGCCUUGUAUUUUUUUUCAGUUUGGGUAGCUGUCCCUAAUUCAUUUGUUAAAGGAGAAGCAAGAGCAAGAACCUUUAAUCUGUUCUCCUCUUCCCUAAUUUGAAAGUAGCUUGUUAUUUUGAAUAUCACUUUCUCUGAAAUAGCACAUCUCCAUCUCAGAGAAUGGAUUUAAUGUUUGGAUACAGCCAAAAGUCAUUUCAUUACCAAACCAUGGGGUGAAUAUACCAUGUAAAGCAGUUUGGGAUCAGAACUCACAGUCUGAAUUGUAAGUGAUGAGACUGCUGUCUCUCUGCUACAGCUUCUUGGCUGGCUCUGAAGGCUCUUUGAAGGCAGAUCCUAACAAGGGGACUGCUUUGAAGGGCCAUUGUUCAUUUGGAAUGAUAAAGUCUAUGUUGUUCAAAAAACAAAUGCUUGUAGCAGGUAUUUUUUCACUCCAGACUGAGAAUAUUGGUGGGAUAUUGAUAAGGGGUACUGAAUGGUAAUAAACAUGUGCUCUAGCUCUGUGCUAGUCAGCUUAUUUCAGAACUCUAGUUUGAUUCAGUUUCUUGCCUCUGACUCAAAAUGGAGGGAGAGUGAUUUUUACAUAAGAGAACACACCCACAUAUCCUUUUGGCAGCAGCUACCUGCCAGAGAUGUUGAAGAAGAGUAGCCAACCUUUACACAGCAGAUAUUGUGUGCCAGUCAUAGUCCUAAGUAUAAUACCUUACAUGUAUAAACUUCUUAUAAGGUUGGUGCUCUGUACCGAAUUGAAUAGUAUCCCCCAAAAUUCAUGUUGUCCCAGAACCUAUGAAAGUGAUC
rnacentral:lncRNA from 1 species